UGUUGUGUGUGAGAUGUCGGUAUAGCAGGUAUGCAGGAAUGUAUUGCAGGUGAACAUUUUUUUAAUCAUUCAUUUAAUCGUUAAUUUUGUAUCUCUUGUUUGUGCUUUUCACAGUGACUGUUCAGAUUUGUUUGCUGUAGUUAGCCUGCCCGGCCUUGCAGGGCCUGUAGAUGAAAAGAUCUGAGGGUGUGCCUUGUGAGAGUGGACUAACUCCUUUUAUUCUUGUUUAUUUAUAGGCCUCCCUCAGGUCCCCCUCAUCCCACCUCCCUUGCAAUAGACCACAGCAGCAGUUAAAUUAAGGCCCAAGAGGCAGACAUCCUGCAGCAGACUGAAAAGGCAGAAAACCAGUUGCAUGAAUGAAAUGAGAACAUGAAGACUGUUCCCUAAAAAAAAUUGAAAGUUCUCAGCUGACCGUGUGUCAGGCAAUGACAGAAAUGUCAAGAUGAGGGUGAGGCAGAGGACAAGGACGCAGGAAAGGUGGUCCUGCCUGCAUCUACAGUCUGAUCAUCAGUCUUCAGCCCUAUCUGUGCUGCCAGUGUGGACAUUGAUGCAAAGACUUCAGGCUCAGAAGAUGACAGACCGUCUAUCCAGCCAUCACACCAAGAGCUGAAGGGGUGAAAGCAGAGGCCACUUGUGGACCAGCCUAUAAAGACAUCACAUUGGGAAGAAGUUGGAGCAUCUGCAGAGAACCCACCCAGGUCCAGAGAGAACAUGAACUCCACACAGACAGAACCAGCAGGUUGGUGCUGUUAGCUGGUUGGUGCUGUUAGCUGACUGUGCUAAUCGCUGCAUCUGUGUCCAUUUUUUUUCUUAUAGGACGAAGAAACAGUGAGAGGAACCCCAGGAUGAUCAAAAAUGGAAGAAUUAUGCCAAGAUGAGACGACAAAAAGCCCCAAACAGAAAAAGAAGAGUCAGACCAAGGAAAAGAAAGAAGAACUGCUUUGACUAAUUCCAAAGCACAAACAGCUGGUGGAGAGGCUCUGCUACAUUCCAGACGUCCCUCCUACUACCAAUGCUUUCCAGUUCUUCCUGGGGGAUCCCGAGGCAUUCACAGGCCAGACAAGAUAUAUAAUGCCUCCUGUUUUGAGUCUACUCCGUGGUCUCCUCCAAGACGGACGUGCUUGGAAAACUUCCAAAGGAAGUCUCCCAGAAGGCACCCAAAUCAGAAGUCCAAAUCACCUCAAAUGGCUCCUUUCGACGAAAAGGAGAAGUGACUCUACUCCAAGCUUCCUCUGGAUGUCCAAGCUUUUCACCCUGUCUCUAAGACUGAGCCCCACAGAGUAAACUUGUUUCGACCGCUCAUGCUUGCAGUCUCAUUCUUUCGGUCACUACCCAGAGGUCAUGACCAGUAGUGAGUGUUGGAAUGUAGAUGGACUGGUAAAUUGCUUGGUGAAGCAACUCCCCCACAAACCUGCAAGGAGCAUUCCACUGGUUUCCAGCAGAGAACCAUGGCCUCGGACUGGGAGGUGCUGACUCGCUACCCAGUCGCUUUACACUCUACUGCAAACUGCUCCAGUGCAUGCUAAUAGUCAUGGUCUGAUGAAGCCAACAGUACCACGUCAUCUGCAAAAAGCAGAAAUGUGAUUAUGAGGUCCCCAAAUCAGACACUCUCCUCCAGGCCUGGAGUGGCUAAUCGGGAGGACCGGGACAAUUCCCGGUGGGCUGGUCUGAUGUUUGGGCCAUGAGGGCAGGUGUUCACUCAUGGCACUGGGUUGAUCAUUAUGUCCCAGGGCCUCCUCUGCCUCCACUGGCAACUCUUCUCUUUUUUUUUCUGCUUUUUCUUUUUUUUGCAGACGCACCCCGACGUAACACGUUCGUGCACACGGUCAGUGGUGUUUGAAAGAUGGAAAUAGAAAGAGCAAGGGUGGCACAGAGACGGCAAGAAUUAAAAAGAGGAAAGCUCUGGAAACAGACACAGCCAGAUGUGCUGACAUUAGAAACUUUGUCACUAAAACAAGCUCGUGGUUUGAAACGAGGACGAUGAAACGGUUACAGCAAGAUGUAGAACUUUGCAAACCGUUAAUUAUCAAGUCAGUGAAUUGUGUGGCAUUGUGGCAUCUAACAUAACGUUAUUUAAUUUAAAGAAUAGUAUGAUGCUGGGAAACUUUGUCUUAUGAACACUUAUUUGCUUGAUAUUUGAUAUUGUGAUGUAUUGUAAAGAAUAGUGUUGGAGAUUUGCCCUUUAACUCAUGUUCUCAUAUUUGUGAAAUGUAAGUUGUCAUGGAAGUGUUUCCUUGCAGAGGAAAAAGAUUAUGGUGUUGUUAGAAAGUGCAACACUUUUUAUUUUAUUUUUAAAAUUUAAUAUUUAAUAUAUUGACUUUAAUUUCAUUUUUAAGGUUUGGAUAGCUGUGAACAAUUAUUUGAACAGAUUAUAGAUUCUGAUAUUGUUGUAAAGAAUAAUGUUGGAGAUG